rnacentral:rRNA from 1 species
GACGUAGGGCGCGAGCGUUGUCCGGAUUUAUUGGGCGUAAAGAGCUCGUAGGCGGCUUGUCGCGUCGGCUGUGAAACCCGCGGCUCAACUGUGGGCGGGCAGCUGAUACGGGCAGGCUGGAGUUCGGUAGGGGAGACUGGAAUUCCUGGUGUAGCGGUGAAAUGCGCAGAUAUCAGGAGGAACACCAAUGGCGAAGGCAGCUCGCUGGGACGGUACUGACGCUGGAGGCGCGAAAGCGUGGGGAGCAAACAGG